AAAAGCUCGUAGUUGGAUCUCAGUUCCAGACGGGCGGUCCGCCUAACGGUGGUUACUGCCUGGCCUGAACAGCCAGCCGGUUUCCCUCGAUGAUCUUCACCGGUUGUCCCGGGUGACCGGCACGUUUACUUUGAAAAAAUUAGAGUGCUCAAAGCAGGCGCGUAGCCUGGAUAAUGGUGCAUGGAAUAAUGGAAUAGGACUUCGUUUCUAUUUUGUUGGUUUUCGGAACACGAGGUAAUGAUUAAGAGGGACAGACGGGGGCAUUCGUAUUGCGACGCUAGAGGUGAAAUUCUUGGACCGUCGCAAGACGAACUACUGCGAAAGCAUUUGCCAAGAAUGUUUUCAUUAAUCAAGAACGAAAGUUAGAGGUUCGAAGGCGAUCAGAUACCGCCCUAGUUCUAACCAUAAACGAUGCCAACCAGCGAUCCGCCUGAGUUCCUCAAAUGACUCGGCGGGCAGCUUCCGGGAAACCAAAGUGUUUGGGUUCCGGGGGAAGUAUGGUUGCAAAGCUGAAACUUAAAGGAAUUGACGGAAGGGCACUACCAGAUGUGGAGCCUGCGGUUUAAUUUGACUCAACACGGGGCAACUUACCCGGCCCGGACACUGGAAGGAUUGACAGAUUAAGAGCUCUUUCUUGAUUCAGUGGGUGGUGGUGCAUGGCC
rnacentral:rRNA from 1 species